GUGCUUCCAUAUAGCAUAACUAUUUCAAAUGUUUCACUGAUUGCUAGUCUGCUGAAAGUACUGGUUGUCAUCUUCACAGCCUUCCAUGACUCAGGCUGGAUGGCUAAUCCCAUCUUUUAAAGUCUGCAUUUACAUGAUGUCAUCUACAGAGCCUACCAAGUUACUGGACUCAUGAUCUAAUGACAUCUGCAUCACAUGGGGUUUAUUUGAUCACUCUGCUGAUGCCACUAUUACUAAAGCUCCCAUGUUCUACACCUUUCUUCUGUAAGACACCUCCAGACUGUUGUGAAUUCCAGGAAAGCAGAUAAGAUCUGGUUUACUACCGCCCAACUGAUUCCAGAAAACCAGCCAUUUAUUUUUCCCUUUUUACCUGAUAAGUCAUCAUCUGAGUGGGACUGAUCUUGAUGCAGUCUAAAGGAGGAGUACUGGAGUGGUGAAAGGGAUUAACUCUGCCAAGAUUGUUUUCUUCCUUGCCAGCAGGUAUAGAGAAGCAGAAAUCAAGGAUAUAAUUAUAGCAGAAGGAA